rnacentral:rRNA from 1 species
UACGAAGGGGGCUAGCGUUUGCUCGGAAUCACUGGGCGUAAAGCGCGCGUAGGCGGCUUUGUAAGUUAGAGGUGAAAGCCCGGAGCUCAACUCCGGAACUGCCUUUAAAACUGCAUCGCUUGAAUCCAGGAGAGGUGAGUGGAAUUCCGAGUGUAGAGGUGAAAUUCGUAGAUAUUCGCAAGAACACCAGUGGCGAAGGCGGCUCACUGGCCCGGUACUGACGCUGAGGUGCGAAAGCGUGGGGAGCAAACAGG